rnacentral:rRNA from 1 species
UUAACUUCGGGGUGNCAGGCGAUACGGGCAUAACUAGAGUGCUGUAGGGGAGACUGGAAUUCCUGGUGUAGCGGUGGAAUGCGCAGAUAUCAGGAGGAACACCGAUGGCGAAGGCAGGUCUCUGGGCAGUAACUGACGCUGAGGAGCGAAAGCAUGGGGAGCGAACAGGAUUAGAUACCCUGGUAGUCCAUGCUGUAAACGGUGGGCGUUAGGUGUGGGGACCGGUUUGGUUUCUGUGCCGUAGCUAACGCAUUAAGCGCCCCGCCUGGGGAGUACGGCCGCAAGGCUAAAACUCAAAGGAAUUGACGGGGGCCCGCACAAGCGGCGGAGCAUGUGGAUUAAUUCGAUGCAACGCGAAGAACCUUACCUGGGUUUGACAUGCACCAGACGGUUGUAGAGAUACGUACCUCCCUUUGUGGUUGGUGUGCAGGUGGUGCAUGGUUGUCGUCAGCUCGUGUCGUGAGAUGUUGGGUUAAGUCCCGCAACGAGCGCAACCCUUGUCUUAUGUUGCCAGCACUUUGGGUGGGGACUCAUGAGAGACUGCCGGGGUUAACUCGGAGGAAGGCGGGGAUGACGUCAAAUCAUCAUGCCCUUUAUGCCCAGGGCUUCACACAUGCUACAAUGGUUAGUACAACGCGCGGCAAGCCUGUGAGGGUGAGCGAAUCGCUGAAAGCUAAUCUCAGUUCGGAUUGGGGUCUGCAACUCGACCCCAUGAAGUCGGAGUCGCUAGUAAUCGCAGAUCAGCAAUGCUGCGGUGAAUACGUUCCCGGGCCUUGUACACACCGCCCGUCACGUCAUGAAAGUUGGUAACACCCGAAGCCCA